GUGCUCAUUACAGCAGCCCGUAUGCUAAAAUUUGAACAGUACUGAGAUUAGCAUGGCUCCUGCAAAAGACACACAAGUUCACGAAGCAUUCUGUAUUUUUUUUUUUUU
rnacentral:snRNA from 1 species